GACGAACGCUGGCGGCGUGCCUAAUACAUGCAAGUCGAACGGUUUAGUUCCAAGAGGCUUGCCUUUUGGAACUAGACAGUGGCGGACGGGUGAGUAACACGUAGGCAACCUACCUGUCAAACCGGGAUAACCUCGGGAAACCGAAGCUAAACCCGGAUAAGCUCCUUUUUCGCAUGAAGGGGGAGUGAAAAGGUGCGACCUGAUGACAGAUGGGCCUGCGGCGCAUUAGCUAGUAGGUAGGGUAACGGCCUACCUAGGCGAGGAUGCGUAGCCGACCUGAGAGGGCGUACGGCCACACUGGGACUGGGAUACGGCCCAGACUCCUACGGGAGGCAGCAGUAGGGAAGCUUCGGCGAUGGGCGAAAGCCUGACCGAGCAACGCCGCGUGAGUGAGGAAGGCCUUCGGGAUGUAAAACUCUGUUGUUUGGGAAGAAGGGAAAGGGUAGGACCCUUAGGUGACGGUACCAAACGAGAAAGCCCCGGCUAACUACGUG
rnacentral:rRNA from 1 species